GCCAGCAUGGCCUAUUGGUUAGAGUGUUGGACUGCAACUAUGGAGACCAGGGUUUGAUUCCCAGCUUGGCC